rnacentral:lncRNA from 1 species
CUCUUAUCAUGUGUGAAAUUAGUUUUGGUAUAGUUUAGGAGUAGUGUCGAUGGACCAGCUGAUCAGGAUAACUCUUAUCAUGUGUGAAAUUAGUUUUGGUAUAGUUUAGGAGUAGUGUCGAUGGGCCAGCUGAUCAGAAUAACUCUUAUCAUGUGUGAAAUUAGUUUUGGUAUAGUUUAGGAGUAGUGUCGAUGGACCAGCUGAUCAGGAUAACUCUUAUCAUGUGUGAAAUUAGUUUUGGUAUAGUUUAGGAGUAGUGUCGAUGGGCCGGCUGAUCAGGAUAACUCUUAUCAUGUGUGAAAUUAGUUUUGGUAUAGUUUAGGAGUAGUGUCGAUGGGCCGGCUGAUCAGGAUAACUCUUAUCAUGUGUGAAAUUAGUUUUGGUACAGUUUAGGAGUAGUGUCGAUGGGCCAGCUGAUCAGGAUAACUCUUAUCAUGUGUGAAAUUAGUUUUGGUAUAGUUUAGGAGUAGUGUCGAUGGGCCAGCUGAUCAGGAUAACUCUUAUCAUGUGUGAAAUUAGUUUUGGUACAGUUUAGGAGUAGUGUCGAUGGGCCAGCUGAUCAGGAUAACUCUUAUCAUGUGUGAAAUUAGUUGUGGUAUAGUUUAGGAGUAGUGUCGAUGGGCAAGCUGAUCAGGAUAACUCUUAUCAUGUGUGAAAUUAGUUUUGGUACAGUUUAGGAGUAGUGUCGAUGGGCCAGCUGAUCAGGAUAACUCUUAUCAUGUGUGAAAUUAGUUUUGGUACAGUUUAGGAGUAGUGUCGAUGGGCCAGCUGAUCAGGAUAACUCUUAUCAUGUGUGAAAUUAGUUUUGGUACAGUUUAGGAGUAGUGUCGAUGGGCCAGCUGAUCAGGAUAACUCUUAUCAUGUGUGAAAUUAGUUUUGGUAUAGUUUAGGAGUAGUGUCGAUGGGCCGGCUGUGAAGGUUGACUGCUAUUAUUUGUUUCCCGCUCAUCAACUUGGACAGAGUCCAGGACAUGUUUUACAUCACUCUAAAGGCCUACUGUAACUCAUAGCAUGUGUUCAUUUCCUUACAAUACAUGUGAUUAGUGUUCGAGUUACAGUCAAUAAAACAGACCCACAACAGUUGAUUUGUGGAAAGUAAAACAUAAAAGAGAAUAUUAUUAACCCACAAGGGGGUGUGGUCAAAUGAUUUGCUGCUGAUAAAUAGGCAUAACACAAACUCAUCAUUACACUUUUGUCUUUCUACAUUACAUCAACCCCUUCAUCCUUCUUAUCAUUCAGUUAGGCCUCAUUUGGGGACGACAGGUAACCUAGUGGUUAGAGUGGAGGGGCGGCAGGUAGCCUAGUGGUUAGAGUGUAGAGGCGGCAGGUAGCCUAGUGGUUAGAGUGUAGAGGCGGCAGGUAGCCUAGUGGUUAGAGUGUAGAGGCGGCAGGCAGCCUAGUGGUUAAAGUGUUGAGCCAGUACUUGAAAGGUUGCUGGAUCGAAUCCCUGAGCUGAGAAGGUAAAAAUCUGUCGUUCUGCCCCUGAACAAGGCAGUUAACCCACUGUUCCUAGGCCGUCUUUGAAAAUAAGAAUUUGUUCAAAAACUGAUUUGCCUAGUUAAAUAAAGGUAAAAACGUAUAUUAUCAUAUAAGGUGCACAAUUACGGCCCAUUUAUUCAGUGAGGAAAGGGAGACUCAUUAGUGGCUGGCUGGGUACCAAGGUCCAACAGCACAUUGUCUUGGUGGGCAGGUAGUAGGUGGGAAAUAAACUGGUCAAAAGGAUCUUUUCUCUUCUUGAUUUCAAAAUUCACACAAAUGAGCAGUGUAAAAUACAAACAUUUAGGAGGAGCAGGACUGAUUCUAGUGUUAAAAGUCAGGGAGCAGGUCUGAUUCUAGUGUUAAAAGUCAGGGAGCAGGACUGAUUCUAGUGUUAAAAGUCAGGGAGCAGGACUGAUUCUAGUGUUAAAAGUCAGGGAGCAGGACUGAUUCUAGUGUUAAAAGUCAGGGAGCAGGACUGAUUCUAGUGUUAAAAGUCAGGGAGCAGGACUGAUUCUAGUGUUAAAAGGCAAGUCCUGCACUUUUCAACCUCAUAUUCAUCCUCUCCAGCACCAAAACAGUAUCUAUAUUUCUGAAAACAGCACCUUUCACAUUUUUAUGAUCUGUAGUUAAAAAAAAAUGAGAAGAAAACUCUUUAAAAACGGUGAUUUUCAAAACCUGCAAUGAGUUUCUAGCCCAGUAGAGGACAUUUUAUUGCUCCCCACACCACUGACAAUCUAAUUGUGUUUGAAAAAUCACUGCUUUUAAAAUCAUUCAACUUUUGAUGAUGUCAUCAGGUAGAACUUUUUAACUUCAUAUUUUUUCUACAAAACUUAGAAAUGCACCAUUUUCACAUCUGAUUUUAUUUUAUUUUUACGGCUGCAUUUGUACCUUUUUUAAAAGUAUUUUGUUUAAAUAUAAUUUGCCUCCACAACAACAUGAAUACCUGCAUACUUUCACAUACAAACCAGAGGAGGCUGGUGGAGGAGCAAUAUGAGGACAGGCUCAGUGUAAAGACUGGAAUGGAAUACAUGGAAUUAAUUUAUUUAUUCCAUUUCAGCCAUAAAAAUGAACCCGUCCUCCUAUAACACAUCCCACCAGCCUCCUCUGAAUGUCUCUGUUCUGUUAAAAGAGAAGUGGAGAAUACCACAUAUUGUUUCUGUUGUAUCUAAAUGUAUCUACAUUAAACCACAUGUUUUGUUCUUAAGACUGAUGGGGAAGAGUGGAGUGUAAAGGAUUUUGCAACACUACUGUAGUUAGCGCAACCUUGUGACUCUGUUAUGGCUAGGGGGCAGUAUUUUCACGGCUGGAUAAAAAACGUACCCGAUUUAAUCUGGUUACUACUCCUGCCCAGUAACUAGAAUAUGCAUAUAAUUAUUGGCUUUGGAUAGAAAACACCCUAAAGUUUCUAAAACUGUUUGAAUGGUGUUUGUGAGUAUAACAGAACUCAUAUGGCAGGCAAAAACCUGAGAAGAUUUCAUGCAGGAAGUGGCCUGUCUGACAAGGUGUCGUUCUUCUUGUCUCUGUUUAUUGAAGAGUGAGGAUCUUAGUGUCCCGUGACACUUCCUACGGCUGCCAUAGGCUCUCAGAAGGCGGCAAAACGCUGAAUCGUGGCUUUGCAGGCUCUGGCUGAAACAAAGUAGCGCGUUUGGGUAGUGGCUGGUUACAGUACUGUGAGACUCAGGCUCGUGCCCGCGUCGACCGAAAGCUUUGUUUUCUUUCCUCUGUUUAGCUAAAUGGACAUUCCCGGUCUGAAUAUUAUCGCUUUUUUACGAGAAAAAAUGGCAUAAAAAUGGAUUUUAAACAGCGGUUGACAUGCUUCGAAAUACGGUAAUGGAAUAUUUAGAUUUUUUUUGUCACGAAUUGCGCCAUGCGCGCGACCCUGAUUUACCAUUUCAGAUAGUGUCUGGGACGCACGAACAAAACGCCGCUAUUCGGAUAUAACGAUGGAUUAUUUUGGACCAAACCAACAUUUGUUAUUGAAGUAGCAGUCCUGGGAGUGCAUUCUGACGAAGACAACAAAAGGUAAUCAAACUUUUAUAAUAGUAAAUCUGAUAUUGGUGAGUGCUAAACUUGCCGGGUGUCUAAAUAGCUAGCCCGUGAU